AGUAGGAGAGGUGGACAAUUUCGGCACGUCCACACACCUUAUGGGUCAAAAGAGAUGAGGGAGAAUGUGCCGCCCUCCUCCUAAA
rnacentral:ncRNA from 1 species